rnacentral:lncRNA from 1 species
ACAUGAACAAGAUUUUCUGAAAGACUGCUAUGGAGUCUGAGAAAAAAGUGUCAAAGAUUGAGGACAUGAGGAGGAAAGAACUGACAGAGGAGAUGAAGAAAGGUGAUCAGGAAGAGCCAUCAAAGUGUUAUCCUGGAAUUCAAGUGAAGACAGUGUUUCAAAGUGGAAAUGAACAGUGUCCUGUAACCCUCAGGUGAGACUAGAGUCAGAAUGCAGGCUUUUCUCAUUUGAAAUCUCAAGGUAAGUCCAGGUCCUUACCUCCACCUAAAAGUUCUGCCACCAAGGGACAUCUGCUCAUUAUCUUCUGUCCACACAUCAAAUGACUUCAAUGUGACCCCUGGAUGUUCUCCAAAGAGCUGAAAGGAAAUAAAUAUUCUUUCUUUAUCACCAAAUACUUCAACUGCAGAGUGGUUGUGCUACCAAGGCCUGAAACUUUGGAAAAACCUGCAUAACACAAAAUAUAUAUGCCACAGAGAGGAUCCAGAGAGCCCAUCUUCAGUCAGUUAUCUGUAUUUGCAUGUCAACUACAGCAUCAAGAAGCAUAGGCAUGGAUACUAAGGACCCCCUCUGUACACCAAAGCCAGUCCAAAGGACAGUGUGUCACUGUGAACUGUAAAUUCAUCUCUCUUCUUCAUCUUUUUUCUACCUACUUUAUGCUUUAUCUCUAAGUUGAGGCUGUUUAUGGCCUCAUCCUCAAUUACCUUGUCCCUCGUUACUCCCAGUUAAUGGAGAUUAAGCUUUGUAUCAUGACUUCCUAACUAAAACUGAAAUCACAAGACAUCACAUAAAUAAAGUG